rnacentral:lncRNA from 10 species
AAGCAAGUUAUGAAUGGUUUAUAUGAUGUGUUUUAACUUGUUUUCUUGCUUGUGCAAAGGCUAUACCAAUGUACAAUGCCACCAGCAAUGUAUGGAGUUCAUUUUAAAACACCCUUUUGCCACCAUUGAAUAUUACCAAUUUAGUUUUUGUCCUCCAUUUUGUUUAUUUUAUUUGUAUAACAUGGUAUAUUUGUUUUAAUUUGAAUUUCUUUAAAUAACUGUGAAGGUAAACAUUUAUAGUUGUUUAUUCCCCAUGUAUGAAUUAUCUACUUGUGUCUUAUGUUCAUAUAUUUGGUGUUUUGAAAUUUUAUACGUGAGAAUUAGAUAUCCCUUAUAAUUGUUAGAAAUCCUUUAACACAUUUCUGCAAUUUUUUCAAUUAUAUUGUUAUGUUUACAGCUUAUUUUCAUUAUAAUGAAUUUUAAUAUGUAUCAUUGAUGAUUUCUUUUAUAACCUCUUAUAUUUUUUCAAAAUUCAGAAUACUGUCUCUCCAAAUAGCUGCUUAUGGACAUUCCAGAAAUAAAGAAUGUCACCACCUCCAGAAA